rnacentral:rRNA from 1 species
AUAAGCGCUGAAAGCAUCUAAGCGCGAAGCUGGCCCCGAGAUGAGUCAUCCCUAGAGCUUCGAGCUCUCUAAAGGGUUGUCGUAGACGACGACGUUGAUAGGCAGGGUGUGUAAGCGCUGUGAGGCGUUGAGCUAACCUGUACUAAUUGCCCGUGCGGCUUAACCAUACAACACCCAAG